rnacentral:rRNA from 1 species
AUACGUAGGUGACAAGCGUUAUCCGGAUUUACUGGGCGUAAAGGGCGCGUAGGCGGUCUUGCAAGUCAGAAGUGAAAAUCCUGCGCUCAACUCGGGCGCUGCUUCUGAAACUGCAGGACUUGAGUGCUGGAGGGGAUAGUGGAAUUCCUAGUGGAGCGGUAAAAUGCGCAGAUAUUAGGAAGAACACCGGUGGCGAAGGCGGCUAUCUGGACAGUAACUGACGCUGAGGCGCGAAAGCGUGGGGAGCAAACAGGAUUAGAUACCCUGGUAGUCCACGGCGUAAACGAUGAAUACUAGGUGUAGGGGGUAUCGACUCCCUCUGUGCCGCAGUUAACACAAUAAGUAUUCCGCCUGGGGAGUACGGCCGCAAGGUUGAAACUCAAAUGAAUUGACGGGG